AUUGAGUCGUAUGGUUUUGUGAGGUGUGUGCCACAAAAUACGGACUCUCAUACUUUUCACCAAACAAAACACCACUCCUUUAUUAUUUUACGUUCUUUUGUCUGUUAACCGUUAUUUUCUAAUUCUUUCACCAUGUGUUGUCUCUGCGCAUACGUCUGAAUUAAACCAGCAGAUCUGCAUUAUUCUGUCAAAUGGUUUUAUGACGUGUGUCUGAUGUAAUUAAAGCCCAAACUGGGAGGUACAGUAUGUGCAAUUUUUUUAUAAGACGUUUUCUCAGUACAGUAUAAAACAGAAUAACAGCAGCCAAUUACGCAGUGUUAUUGACCAAACUGAGGAGGUAAAGCACUGAGUUUUCACCUGGGUAGCCUACUGAAGAAUCUAAUGCCUGAUUGGUGAGAAGAAGCUGCAGGUACAGAGCUGACGGACCAAGUGUUCUGGAGUGAGCAGCACUUCCAUUUCCUGUUCAACCUCCCCCACCCCUGAGUGAAUCUCCAAACUGCCAAGCUCAGAAAAGACGGAAACAACAACAGAAAGGGUAAAAUGGUCACCCAAAGAAAUGCAACAAUGGUAAGGCACUAAGCUGAAGUGAUAGAGUGAGAUCUGAAAAAAAAGAAACUUUUGGGACGUCUGAAGCAGAGGAACUCAACUUUUGUGAUGUCUGAAGCAGAGGAACUCUACUGUAUGUGACAUCUGAAGCAGAGGAACUCUACUGUAUGUGACAUCUGAAGCAGAGGAACUCUACUGUAUGUGACAUCUGAAGCAGAGAAACUCUACUGUGUGAAUUAUGAAUCAGGGCAACUUUAAUGUAACUUCAGACACAAUGCAACCAGGAACAAGCGCAACACAGACAGAGAUUAAGCCGAUAUGUAUAAUGUCCUGGAAUAUAAAUGGGAUUUCAAAAGAAACCACAAGAGCAAAGAAAUUAGGUGCCAUGGCUGGGAUAGCCGAAAAGGAGAAUGUUAACAUUAUUUGUCUUCAGGAGACUCGCAUUGGACGAAAUGGCACUAAUGUAUUUCACACUUUCAGUGAAUGGGAGCAUUUCUACACAAAGAUUGAUACAUACCGCAGAGGAGUUGCCAUUCUCAUUCGAAAGGACAUUGGUUUUCAGCUGUUAAAUAAAAAAUUAGCUCAUACAGGAGAUUACAUUGUAGUGAAAUGUAAACUACAAGGCCAGCUUUACACCAUUGUGAGCAUAUACCACCAUCGGCAAGACGAAGCUGCUUUGGACAGACUCCGAAAAUACUUAACGAGGAAUACUGAAGGAGAGUUGAUGAUUGGAGGAGACUUCAACACUGUUUUCAACCCGGUCUUGGACAAGACAUCAACACUACCAAACAAGAAACAUGAUGAUAGGCGGAGAAGUGUACAGAAAAUGAUAACAUACCUUGACCUUGUGGAUGUCUGGAGAGAAAUCCACCCAGAGACGAUAGAAUACACAUACCAUCAAAAUGAGACCAGGUCCAGAUUAGAUUACAUCUUCAUAAAGAGAGAGUCCAUGCAGCAAGUCGAAAAAUGUGAAAUCCUUGUUGAGACUACAGAGUACUCAGACCAUAAACCUGUCUUGCUCCAGCUUAAAUCAGAGACCGAUAUUAUGAAUAAAAUAUCUCAUAAGUCUCUAGGUAGUAAUAAUGAUGAUGAUGCUGCUGCUGCUGCUGCUGCUGCUGCUGAUGCUGCUGUUGAUGCUGCUGAUGCUGCUGCUUUUGCUGCUGAUGCUGCUGAUGCUGCUGAUCGUGCUGCUGAUGCUGCUGAUGCUACUGAUACUGCUGCUGAUAAAGCUGCUGAUGCUAAAGCUGCUGCUGCUAGAGCUGCUGAUGCUGCUGAAGAUGCAAAAGCUGCUGCU